UACAGAGGUCUCAAGCGUUGUUCGGAUUCAUUGGGCGUAAAGGGCGCGUAGGCGGCGAGGUAAGUCGGGUGUGAAAUCUCAGAGCUCAACUCUGAAACUGCACUCGAUACUGCUUUGCUAGAGGACUGGAGAGGAGAUUGAAAUUCACGGUGUAGCAGUGAAAUGCGUAGAGAUCGUGAGGAAGACCAGUGGCGAAGGCGGAUCUCUGGACAGUUCCUGACGCUGAGGCGCGAAGGCCAGGGGAGCAAACGGG
rnacentral:rRNA from 1 species